rnacentral:rRNA from 1 species
GACGAACGCUGGCGGCGUGCUUAACACAUGCAAGUCGAACGGUGAAGCGCCUUCCUUUUUGGUGGGUGUGGAUGAGUGGCGAACGGGUGAGUAACACGUGAGUAACCUGCCCCCUUCUUCUGGAUAACCGCAUGAAAGUGUGGCUAAUACGGGAUAUUCUGGGUCUGUCGCAUGAUGGGUCUGGGAAAGAUAUUGUUUCGGUGGGGGAUGGGCUCGCGGCCUAUCAGCUUGUUGGUGGGGUGAUGGCCUACCAAGGCGGUGACGGGUAGCCGGCCUGAGAGGGUGGACGGUCACACUGGGACUGAGACACGGCCAAGACUCCUACGGGAGGCAGCAGUGGGGAAUAUUGCACAAUGGGCGCAAGCCUGAUGCAGCGACGCCGCGUGAGGGAUGGAGGCCUUCGGGUUGUGAACCUCUUUCGCCAGUGAAGCAGGCCUGCCUCGUUUGUGGGUGGGUUGACGGUAGCUGGACAAGAAGCGCCGGCUAACUACGUG